CAAAACAUGAUAUCCUAAUUUCCUUGCUUAGUUAUACAUGGAACCCAACAUAAAGUAUUAUGGGAAACAUCUGAAGACUAUGCUACUCCUUAUAUUAUAUUAUCUACAAAAAGAUACAAUUGUCACCAUGGUUUCGAUCGGAACGCUGCUGCAAAAAGGAAGCAUAAUGAAGCAAAAGAAAAUCAGAAAGUGGAUCAUUUAUACAUAACUAAUUAUGUUAUCAUACAAGAUACUAAAAAGUUUAAUUGUCCUGCAAAAGCCAUUAUGAAAGAAGUGGUAUAUUUCACUGACUUCAAGCUUAUUAAUUCCAGUAAUUAUCGUAAGAAGCAACAGUCAAAAGAAAUAAAAUAUUCGUUGCUAC
rnacentral:lncRNA from 1 species